UACGUAGGGUGCGAGCGUUAAUCGGAAUUACUGGGCGUAAAGCGUGCGCAGGCGGUGAUGUAAGACAGGUGUGAAAUCCCCGGGCUUAACCUGGGAACUGCAUUUGUGACUGCAUCGCUGGAGUGCGGCAGAGGGGGAUGGAAUUCCACGUGUAGCAGUGAAAUGCGUAGAGAUGUGGAGGAACACCGAUGGCGAAGGCAGCCCCCUGGGCUAACACUGACGCUCAGGCACGAAAGCGUGGGGAGCAAACAGG
rnacentral:rRNA from 1 species